AGCGAACGCUGGCGGCAGGCCUAACACAUGCAAGUCGAACGAACUCUUCGGAGUUAGUGGCGGACGGGUGAGUAACACGUGGGAACGUGCCUUUAGGUUCGGAAUAGCUCCUGGAAACGGGUGGUAAUGCCGAAUGUGCCCUUCGGGGGAAAGAUUUAUCGCCUUUAGAGCGGCCCGCGUCUGAUUAGCUAGUUGGUGGGGUAAUGGCCCACCAAGGCUACGAUCAGUGGCUGGUCUGAGAGGAUGACCAGCCACAUUGGGACUGAGACACGGCCCAAACUCCUACGGGAGGCAGCAGUGGGGAAUCUUGCGCAAUGGGCGAAAGCCUGACGCAGCCAUGCCGCGUGUAUGAUGAAGGUCUUAGGAUUGUAAAAUACUUUCACCGGUGAAGAUAAUGACUGUAGCCGGAGAAGAAGCCCCGGCUAACUUCGUGCCAGCCGCCGCGGUAAAAC
rnacentral:rRNA from 1 species